AGUGGCUGUUCUUGCUGUUGAUUUUGUGAACAUUCUGGACUUUCAUCAGGUUGUCAUUUUGAUCCAUCUUUUUGCUCGAUUGUUUCGUUUUUGGGCGCAAAGCUAAAGGCAAGCUAGAGGCAAGCUGUGCCUGGGGCAGGGAAUGAUGCAAUCCUGUUUGCUUUGUGGGUUUUGGGUAGACAUGGAAUCAUGGUGCCUCCUUUUCUCCUCUUAUAGAAGUCCUAAAGUGCUGUAGCUAAUGGGGAGCACCGUGUGAAUUGACGAGCAUACCCUUUGGUGAUUGCACUUUCGCACUUUCUUUUUUGAAAAGUGGAAAGAUCAAUGAUCUCCAUUGCCGACCUCUUUGAAUAUUAUUAGAAGAGUUCCAC
rnacentral:lncRNA from 1 species